AAUCAACGCUGGCGGCGUGCCUCAGACAUGCAAGUCGAACGCGAAAGUCCCCUUCGGGGGAUGAGUAGAGUGGCGCACGGGUGAGUAACACGUAGGUAAUCUACCUUCGGGUGGGGAAUAACAACCGGAAACGGUUGCUAAUACCGCAUAAUGCAGCGGCACCUAAUGGUGACAGUUGUUAAAGCGGGGGAUCGCAAGACCUCGCGCCUGAAGAGGAGCCUGCGGCGGAUUAGCUAGUUGGCAGGGUAACGGCCUACCAAGGCGACGAUCCGUAGCCGGCCUGAGAGGGCGGUCGGCCACACUGACACUGACAUACGGGUCAGACUCCUACGGGAGGCAGCAGUCGGGAAUUUUGGGCAAUGGGCGAAAGCCUGACCCAGCAACGCCGCGUGAAGGAUGAAAUCCCUCGGGAUGUAAACUUCGCAUGAACGGGGAGAAUAAGCCGGUGUCAACACCACCGGCGAUGACGGUACCGUUUGUAAGCUCCGGCUAACUCCGUGCCAGCAGCCGCGGU
rnacentral:rRNA from 1 species